AGAAAUUUCAGAUAUUUUAAAAUGGCUGCGAAACUCAGCGACAUAAUCUUUUUUAUUUAGCAACUUUUUUUUAAUUUUGGUUUUGUAAAAAUUGAUGCUGCAACUUUAAGAUGAAUGGAGUAUUUGGACCAAAAGUUGUUUGUAGUAUUCAAACCUAGCACCUAAUUUUUUCAUAAAUGAAAUAUCAUCAAUAAAACUGUAUUAAACCAGCAAUAUAUUUUUCUAAAGUCGAAUAAAUUGUAAUAGUAAAAAGCAAAUCUCUUAAUAUAAAUUUUAUUUCUCAAACAUGCUACAAACACUCUAAUAUGAUAUAUUAUAUAUACUUAUAAUUUAUGAACCAAUAAUUUUUUAUGAAUAUCUAAAAACAAUCUAAAAUAAUUUACUUUCAAGAAUAUCACUCUAAUUCUAAUAUUCUUUUCUUUCUAUCCAAAAUUAUCAUAUUGUGUAUUCUUGUUCAUCUAUUAAACUGUUUAUUUGUCUGCAAUCACACACAAGUUAUCCUACCUCUUUCAAUCUGUAAUUUCUUUACUUCUAUAAAAAAUUCUCAAUAUAAAUAUCUUCCAUCAUUUAGCAAUCUUAAAUUAUAUAUUCUAAAUCAUUGUUCAGUUAAGUACAGCAUAACAAAUCACAUCACAAACCAAUGCAUAAAAUCAUGAAAUAAUUUAUCAUUUUUUAUUCAUAGAAUAGUUUAUUUUUUAAAUUCACUUUAUAUCACUAAACUUUACUACUAAAACUCAUCUUUAUGUCUUUUUAUUUUGGAGAAAUGUAAUUACUGUUCGUAAAAUGCUUUGCUCUUUGUGGGUUAUUAUUAUUGCUUUUGGUAUGAUUAUAUGUAAUAUAAAUAUCAACAUUAUUUUACUUCUAUUCAUAUCACUAUUGUUAUUGUUUAAUAUUAAAUUUAAUAUUUAUCAAUAUUAUUAUUACUAUUAUUAUUGUUAUUAUUAUAUUAAUAUAAAUAUAAUUACCUCAUUAUAAUUGUUUAAAUAUUGCUAUUGCUAUUAUUAUAUAAUUGGUUUUUACUUAAGAUUAGUAUUAGUGCUAUUUCUAAAUAUCUAUGUGUAUGUCGCAUACAUACACAUAUAUGACAUAUAUAUGUGUGUGUUUUCUUUUAAGCAAUUGCAAGUUUCCAAAUACAUGCAAAGUAAAGAAAAGCAAACAAUACUUUUCAAUUAAUUGUUGGCGACAUAGCUUAUGUAUUAAAGUCUUCUGUCACAGUUGACUCAGCAAGAAUGAAGACAUUGAUACACUUUUGCAUUAUGGAAUACACAAGUUGGCAGCUCCUUACCCACUGCCACCCAAAUACAGGUAAGUAUGCAUGCAUACACAUACAAACUUAGUAAAACUAAAGUGAGUAAUAAAUUUUCGAUCUUAAACUGUUUUAGGUGGCAUCAGAUUACAAUCGGCAAACAUAAAGCCAUUUUUACAAAGGUUUGCCUAUAAAAGAUAAAAACAAGGUCAGCAAAAAAUUGCUAACCUCAGGCAUUUUUAUGUUUUUGCUUGGUUAGGGUUAGAGUUAGGUACAUUAAUGUAUUGAAAUCGAUUAAUAAUUAAAUAAGGAAUGUGUUUUUAGAUACUAAAGUUAAACACUUAAUAAAGUACUUGCU